rnacentral:rRNA from 1 species
UACAGAGGUCCCAAGCGUUGUUCGGAUUCAUUGGGCGUAAAGGGUGCGUAGGCGGCGCGGUAAGUCGGGUGUGAAAUCUCGGAGCUUAACUCCGAAACUGCAUUCGAUACUGCCGUGCUUGAGGACUGGAGAGGAGACUGGAAUUUACGGUGUAGCGGUGAAAUGCGUAGAUAUCAGGAGGAACACCGGUGGCGAAGGCGCCACUCUGGGCCGGUACUGACGCUGAGGAGCGAAAGCGUGGGUAGCAAACAGG